CAGUCGCCGCGGUAAUACGAGGGGGGCAAGCGUUGUUCGGAAUUAUUGGGCGUAAAGGGUGCGUAGGCGGUUACGUAAGUCUUAUGUGAAAUCUAUGGGCUCAACCCAUAGUCUGCAUGGGAAACUGCGAGGCUUGAGGAUGGGAGAGGUGAGUGGAAUUUCCGGUGUAGCGGUGAAAUGCGUAGAUAUCGGAAGGAACACCUGUGGCGAAAGCGGCUCACUGGACCAUUUCUGGCGCUGAUGCACGAAAGCUAGGGGAGCAAACAGGAUUAGAUACCCCCGUAGUCCCUGUCUCUUAUAC
rnacentral:rRNA from 1 species